CAAAAGCCUGGUCCUAACUUUAUCAUCCGCCUUAACCAAAUUUAUACAUGCAAGUAUCCGCAGCCCUGUGAGAAUGCCCCCAAGAUCCCACCCGGAAACGAGGAGCAGACAUCAGGCACGCCAAUCGCAGCCCAAGACGUCUUGCUCAGCCACACCCCCAAGGGAGCUCAGCAGUAAUAAACUUUAGGCCAUGAGUGAAAACUUGACCUAGUUAUGGUUAUAAGGGCCGGUAAAACUCGUGCCAGCCACCGCGGCCAUACGAGUGUUAGCCCCAGCGGAUGGUCGGCGGCGUAAAGAGUGGUUAGGGGCCCUUACAACUAAAGCUAAAUGUCCUCAAGGCUGUUAUACGCAUCCGACGACAUGAAACCCCGCCACGAAAGUGGCUUUAACCCGACCCGAACCCACGACAACUGGGACACAAACUGGGAUUAGAUACCCCACUAUGCCUAGUCGUAAACACCGAUAGACGACCUACAACUUCUAUUCGCCCGGGAACUACAAGCACCAGCUUUAAACCCAAAGGACUUGGCGGUGCUUUAGACCCACCUAGAGGAGCCUGUCCUAGAACCGAUACCCCCCGUUCAACCUCACCACUUCUUGCCCAGCCCGCCUAUAUACCGCCGUCGUCAGCUUACCCCGUGAGGGGCUAAUAGUAAGCUUAGCUGGUACAACCCAAAACGUCAGGUCGAGGUGUAGCGCACGAAGUGCGGAAGAGAUGGGCUACAUUUUCUGACCCAGAAAACUACGGAAGGAAAAAUGAAAAGUUUCCCAAAGGAGGAUUUAGCAGUAAGCAGGGAACAGAGCGCCCUGCUGAAACUGGCCCUUAAGCGCGCACACACCGCCCGUCACUCUCCCCGAACCCAACCCAGCCAUAUCCUAUGAAACCACAAUACAUAGAGGGGAGGCAAGUCGUAACAUGGUAAGUGUACCGGAAGGAAGCACUUGGAAUAUA
rnacentral:ncRNA from 1 species